rnacentral:rRNA from 1 species
CCUACGGGAGGCAGCAGUGGGGAAUAUUGCACAAUGGGGGAAACCCUGAUGCAGCAACGCCGCGUGAGUGAAGAAGUAUUUCGGUAUGUAAAGCUCUAUCAGCAGGGAAGAAGAUGACGGUACCUGAGUAAGAAGCCCCGGCUAACUACGUGCCAGCAGCCGCGGUAAUACGUAGGGGGCAAGCGUUAUCCGGAUUUACUGGGUGUAAAGGGAGCGUAGACGGUGAGACAAGUCUGAAGUGAAAGCCCGGGGCUCAACCCCGGGACUGCUUUGGAAACUGGUAGACUAGAGUGCUGGAGAGGUAAGUGGAAUUCCGAGUGUAGCGGUGAAAUGCGUAGAUAUUAGGAGGAACACCAGUGGCGAAGGCGGCUUACUGGACAGUAACUGACGUUGAGGCUCGAAAGCGUGGGGAGCAAACAGGAUUAGAUACCCCUGUAGUC